rnacentral:lncRNA from 1 species
CCACUUGGCUGGUCCCAGUUUUAUUUUUUAUCCACUUGAUCUGUACAUUACAGAAAAAUAUAUUAAAAUCUCCUAGUAUGAUGAUGGGUCCCAGAGUCUGGCUCCUAUUCCCAGUACACAAGACCUAUCAAAACCUGGCUCUAGGCCCCCGGGGACUGGCAGACAUCUUCAGGGCACAGUGCCAAAUGUGUUCAUGAAGACAGUAACAUUCCUCUCAUCAUUUUCUCCAGAACUUUGGUGCUUUGAGUCAAAGGUUGACAUAAAGCUUUCAAAACAAAUGCGUGUUUGCACCUCCGCCUCGGGGCCGCAGGAACCUGGACUCAGGGACUAUUUAGACAACACUGAGUUGGAGAAUGGAUUGUGGCUAGCUGGACACUGGGCCCUCCGCUGGCACUGUGGUCACUGCUGGCCCCAGUGCCACCAAUGCCACAGGACACUGGAUGCCAUAGCCACCAACUCCACCAGAAGGAGUUCCGAUUAUGUUGUUCAGUCUGGAUUUAGAAGUCUCAGGGAGUGCCAAUUUCCUCUCACUGCUCCUGGAUCUGACUGAGGCAGCUCAAGAAGGAGGAAGUCGGGGAGAUCUGAUCG